rnacentral:rRNA from 1 species
UAUAACCCUAAGGUAGAUAUUCCACUAUUCUGCUUGGGAAUGGUUUUCAGGAGCAAGGAACAGAUGAGGAAGGCACUAAUAAAAUAUGGACUUCUGACAUUUAGAAGUAUAAACUUCAUGAAGUCAGAAGAAGGGAGGAUCAGGGCUAAGUGUGGAUGGCCUGGAUGUCCGUGGACUAUAUAUGGUGCUUACAGUAGCAGGUGUUCUAGAUUUCAGGUGAUCACAUAUGAAGAUCAACAUGAGUGUGCACCUAACAGAGACAAUCACCUUGUCACAGCAAAAGUUAUUGCUAGGAGAUAUGAGCACAUCUUAAGAGCCAAUCCGACAUGGAAAAUUGAUAGCAUUAAAGCCACGGUUCUGAAAGAUUUCUUUGCGGAUGUUUCAACAUCAAAGUGCAAGGCUGCUAAGAAGAUAGUGUCAGAGAAGCUACUUGCCGGACUGAAAGAUGAGUACACCAAGGUGUUCGAUUACCAGCUUGAACUACUUAGGAGCAAUCCUGGGAGCACAAUCCUUGUUGGCUUGAACCCUAAGUACAUGGAUCAAAAUAUUUUCCAAAGCUUCUAUGUAUGCUUCAAUGCUAUGAAAAAGGGUUUUAAAGCUUGCAGAAGAGUUAUUGGGCUUGAUGGCUGCUUUUUCAAAGGAGCAUGUCAAGGUGAGCUUCUAUGUGCUAUUGGUAGAGAUGCUAAUAAUCAAAUGUAUCCAGUAGCUUGGGCAGUAGUGGAGAAAGAAACUAGUGAAUCUUGGGAGUGGUUUGUUGGCCUUUUGAUAAAGGACUUGGAUAUUAUUGAUCAAGGUGAAGGAUGGGUGUUCAUUUCAGAUCAACAGGAGGGCCUUAUCAGUGCAAUGCAAAACUACGUACCAAAGGCACAACAUAGAAUGUGUGCUAGACACAUCUAUGCUAACUGGAAAAAAAAGUUUAGAGAGCAUGCUCUGCAAAAGAAAUUUUGGGCAAUUGCCAAGGCUGCAAACAGAGAAGAUUUCAUGUAUAGGAAGGCCAAGUUAGCUCAAGAUACACCUGAAGGUGCAAGGGACAUAAUGAGGACAGAGCCUAAGCAUUGGGCAAGAGCAUUUUUUCCUGUUGGGUCCCUUUGUGACUCAGUCGAUAACAAUCUAUGUGAGUCCUUCAACAAUGCUAUAGUUGAGGCCAGAUUCUAUCCUAUCAUCUCUAUGCUAGAGAAGAUUAGACACAAGAUGACACUUAGAGUCCAAGAAAAUAGGAGCAAAAGUGAAAAGUGGACAUCUAGUGAUAUAUGCCCAAACAUUUUCAAGAAGCUUAAGGUGGCCAUCAAAAUGACUCAGUUCUGUGAUGUGCUCUGGAAUGGCAAGGAAGGGUUUGAGGUGAAACAUGUCAGUGGCAGAGGAAGGAGCUAUACAGUGAACUUGGACAAAUGGACUUGCUCUUGUGGUUACUUUCAGCUGGCAGGGCUGCCUUGUUGCCAUGCCAUCAGUGCCAUAUACAAGAGUGGAAGAAACAUAGCUGACUUCAUUCAUAAAUGCUAUUCAGUUGAGCAAUUUAAGAAGAUAUAUGAGCACUGCUUGGAGCCAGUAGAAGGACAAGAGAGAUGGCCUAUCUCUGACAAACCUAGACCACAAGCACCUGGGUAUGUGUGUAUGCCAGGUAGGCCUAGGAAUAAUGACAGGAAGAGGGAAGAGGGAGAAGCACCGAAAGGAAAGAAAAUGUCAAAGCAUGGCACUAAAAUUACAUGCAGCAUGUGUGGCCACAAGGGGCAUAACAAGACAGGUUGCAAGAAUAAUCCUGAAAAGGGGAAGAAGAAGAAUGCCUUCCUGAAGAAAACAGGCAGGAAAAUGAAGUCAUCCGAGCAAGCAAACACUGAUGCUCAAAUCAGAUCAAGCCAGCAAGCUAAAAGCAUUGGAGAAGUUCAAGCACAAGCAGGAUCAAAUGGUGGGAAGAGGAAGGCUACCAAAAAACAGAAUGUGCAAUCCAAGAAAAAAAAUCAAAGAUGU